rnacentral:lncRNA from 1 species
GAGAUUUCUGAAAUUCUCUUAUGGGCCUAAGGCCCACUACUAAUUUCAACAGGGAAUAGGUAUGGCGCCUUGUUUGGAUGGCGAGCUAACUUCAACGUCUGGUGGAGGUUGGUUCCAGUUUUAUUUGCACAGAAGUCCCAUGUUGUCUUCCUUUCAGAUUGGGAGUGGAACAGGCGGGUGGAGACGCCGGCCAGGUAUUGCAACCAAUGCCCGCGCCUUUGCUACUCAUCUUCUACCUUUAGAUUUUGCAUUUUUUGCUUAACCCAUCAGCUAAAUUGAUUUGAGUCAUAUACGUGUAGUUCGAUUUGAUAGUAGUUAAUGUAUAUACUGAUUUCAUUUAGUUACAUUAGCAGGGAGCCAUUGGUGGGGUUUGGUAAGGUAUGCUGAUCAUGGUCAAAGCAGAUCAAUCCGUCCGCAUGUUCCAGUGCAGAUCGAUAGCUGAAGCACCACCACAGGAAAUUAGAAGGUGCCAUUUUCUCUUACGCUGGUCUGCUUCCAUCAACUAUUAGCUGCGCCUCCUCCACCAAUUAUCCGUACUCAGACCGUCGACGUGAUUUACUUUGAAAGUAUGUAUUCUGCUAUUGUUAUUAUGUAAAUUAUGGGGAGGAGAAUUGUUUUUAGUUCCUGAUGUUGCCGAGUACUAUUAGUGUCCGUUCUACUUUUGUUUGCCUUUUUUUGGAUCAGGUUCUGGUCGUUCAUGCCUUUCUGUUGCUCUUCAAAUUUUUUGUUUGCUAAUUUUUGAACGAGGCUCUAUUAGUUCAUGCUCUUUAUUUUUAUUUUCUUUGCAGGCCCCCUUGCCUCAGUACGUAUUAUAUAUUGGGUCUUUUUCCCUACCACUCUAAUACAAUUAUUUGAUUGUUUGCAGGUCCCCUUGCCUCAGUACGUAUUAUAUAUUGGGUCCUUUGCCCUUGUCUCAACGAUUCAAGAAAUAAUUCUACAUGAAGGAUCAAGAAACGAUGAUUUGUCAUUCAUUGGUAUCUUCGUAUUUAUUAUUAUCAAAUUUAGUUCUGUGGGAUCACAAAGUCUUCAUAUUUACCAUGUUUUUGUUCUUUCCUUUGGUCUGAUAUAAUGCAGGGGAAAAUAUGAAUAAAGACUAAAAGGUUGUUAUGCUAAGACGAUUCUGGCUGAUAGUUCAAGAAAGACUAAAAGGUUGUUAUGCUAAGACGAUUUUGUGUUACUAAGGUGUUAAAUUAAUCGUAGUUUGUGUUUUGUGUGGAGACAUGUUUCGAUCUACGUAUAUAGUAUAUCCAUUUGUUUUACCAUAUUUUUUUGACUAAUGAAUGUUUUAUCCAUGCAUUUAAUACAAAUUGUAACGAACUGUGAUAUCUAUGGCACUUUACUUUUUGUCUGUCACUUGAUACCAGUGUUUCAUGAUUCAAUAUUUGUGCUUCAUGAAUUGUUUUGUCAUUUGAACAUGUAAUUGAAAAAAUGUUAGGUUAUCAUUAUUGCUAUUGUUGAUGUUAUUUUUACCAUGUGUUCCUCCACGAACGCGCGGGGUGUCAUCUAGUUUUCAUAAAGGAAAUGUGCCAUUCUUUUUUAUCAGCGAAUGGAGAACUAAAAGCCUUAUUUAUUUUUAUUACAAGAAUCAACCUCAGCAGGCUGUUGUGUAGAGUCUUUGUCAGUGGAAGAUGCAGGAACAAAUGGGAAUUGGUUGUAGAUUUCUUCUAUCCUGCUUCAUCCUGCAAAAAAAUAGAACAACAAAUAAGAUAAUUGUUAGAUUAGAGAAUGUUUUUUUCAUGGUAGGAUGUUCUUCAAGCUGCUUAUUGGUACUCCCUCCGGUGUGUUAGGCCUUUUAUGAAACGCAGCACGACCAAGGUGGUUUUUCAUUGGCUAAGUGAUCUGCCCAUUUCCUUCAAUCAGCAUUUAGUUGGUAUUAAUUAUGGCAAGUGAAGAGACGUCCAGGCCCACAGCAUGCAUGCAUGCGCUUAGAUAUGACGCUAAUUCCUCCUCCCUCCU